rnacentral:rRNA from 1 species
AUUGAACGCUGGCGGCAUGCCUUACACAUGCAAGUCGAACGGUAACAGGUCUUCGGAUGCUGACGAGUGGCGAACGGGUGAGUAAUACAUCGGAACGUGCCCGAGAGUGGGGGAUAACGAGGCGAAAGCUUUGCUAAUACCGCAUACGAUCUCAGGAUGAAAGCAGGGGACCGCAAGGCCUUGCGCUCACGGAGCGGCCGAUGGCAGAUUAGGUAGUUGGUGGGAUAAAAGCUUACCAAGCCGACGAUCUGUAGCUGGUCUGAGAGGACGACCAGCCACACUGGGACUGAGACACGGCCCAGACUCCUACGGGAGGCAGCGGUGGGGAAUUUUGGACAAUGGGCGCAAGCCUGAUCCAGCCAUGCCGCGUGCAGGAUGAAGGCCUUCGGGUUGUAAGCUGCUUUUGUACGGAACGAAAAGACUCCUUCUAAUAAAGGGGGUUCAUGACGGUACCGUAAGAAUAAGCACCGGCUAACUACGUGCCAGCCGCCGCCGUAAUAC